rnacentral:rRNA from 1 species
CCUACGGGUGGCAGCAGUGGGGAAUAUUGCGCAAUGGGCGAAAGCCUGACGCAGCGACGCCGCGUGAGGGAUGAAGGUCUUCGGAUCGUAAACCUCUGUCAGCAGGGAAGAACGGUCACUGUGCUAAUCAGCAGUGAAUUGACGGUACCUGCAAAGGAAGCACCGGCUAACUCCGUGCCAGCAGCCGCGGUAAUACGGAGGGUGCGAGCGGUAAUCGGAAUUACUGGGGGUAAAGCGCUCGUAGGCGGUAUGUCAAGUCAAGGGGGAAAUCCCCGGGCUCAACGUGGGAACUGCCUUUGAAACGGGCAAACUGGAGUGUGCGAGAGGAUAGUGGAAUGCCAGGUGUAGGAGUGAAAUCCGUAGAUAUCUGGAGGAACAUCAGUGGCGAAGGCGACUAUCUGGCACAUAACUGACGCUGAGGAGCGAAAGCGUGGGUAGCAAACAGGAUUAGAUACCCGGGUAGUC